CAAGUCGAACGAACUCUGGUAUUGAUUGGUGCUUGCAUCAUGAUUUACAUUUGAGUGAGUGGCGAACUGGUGAGUAACACGUGGGAAACCUGCCCAGAAGCGGGGGAUAACACCUGGAAACAGAUGCUAAUACCGCAUAACAACUUGGACCGCAUGGUCCGAGCUUGAAAGAUGGCUUCGGCUAUCACUUUUGGAUGGUCCCGCGGCGUAUUAGCUAGAUGGUGGGGUAACGGCUCACCAUGGCAAUGAUACGUAGCCGACCUGAGAGGGUAAUCGGCCACAUUGGGACUGAGACACGGCCCAAACUCCUACGGGAGGCAGCAGUAGGGAAUCUUCCACAAUGGACGAAAGUCUGAUGGAGCAACGCCGCGUGAGUGAAGAAGGGUUUCGGCUCGUAAAACUCUGUUGUUAAAGAAGAACAUAUCUGAGAGUAACUGUUCAGGUAUUGACGGUAUUUAACCAGAAAGCCACGGCUAACUACGUGCCAGCAGCCGCGGUAAUACGUAGGUGGCAAGCGUUGUCCGGAUUUAUUGGGCGUAAAGCGAGCGCAGGCGGUUUUUUAAGUCUGAUGUGAAAGCCUUCGGCUCAACCGAAGAAGUGCAUCGGAAACUGGGAAACUUGAGUGCAGAAGAGGACAGUGGAACUCCAUGUGUAGCGGUGAAAUGCGUAGAUAUAUGGAAGAACACCAGUGGCGAAGGCGGCUGUCUGGUCUGUAACUGACGCUGAGGCUCGAAAGUAUGGGUAGCAAACAGGAUUAGAUACCCUGGUAGUCCAUACCGUAAACGAUGAAUGCUAAGUGUUGGAGGGUUUCCGCCCUUCAGUGCUGCAGCUAACGCAUUAAGCAUUCCGCCUGGGGAGUACGGCCGCAAGGCUGAAACUCAAAGGAAUUGACGGGGGCCCGCACAAGCGGUGGAGCAUGUGGUUUAAUUCGAAGCUACGCGAAGAACCUUACCAGGUCUUGACAUACUAUGCAAAUCUAAGAGAUUAGACGUUCCCUUCGGGGACAUGGAUACAGGUGGUGCAUGGUUGUCGUCAGCUCGUGUCGUGAGAUGUUGGGUUAAGUCCCGCAACGAGCGCAACCCUUAUUAUCAGUUGCCAGCAUUAAGUUGGGCACUCUGGUGAGACUGCCGGUGACAAACCGGAGGAAGGUGGGGAUGACGUCAAAUCAUCAUGCCCCUUAUGACCUGGGCUACACACGUGCUACAAUGGAUGGUACAACGAGUUGCGAACUCGCGAGAGUAAGCUAAUCUCUUAAAGCCAUUCUCAGUUCGGAUUGUAGGCUGCAACUCGCCUACAUGAAGUCGGAAUCGCUAGUAAUCGCGGAUCAGCAUGCCGCGGUGAAUACGUUCCCGGGCCUUGUACACACCGCCCGUCACACCAUGAGAGUUUGUAACACCCAAAGUCGGUGGGGUAACCU
rnacentral:rRNA from 2 species